UACGUAGGUCCCGAGCGUUGUCCGGAUUUAUUGGGCGUAUAGCGAGCGCAGGUGGUUUAUUAAGUCUGGUGUAAAAGGCAGUGGCUCAACCAUUGUAUGCAUUGGAAACUGGUAGACUUGAGUGCAGGAGAGGAGAGUGGAAUUCCAUGUGUAGCGGUGAAAUGCGUAGAUAUAUGGAGGAACACCGGUGGCGAAAGCGGCUCUCUGGCCUGUAACUGACACUGAGGCUCGAAAGCGUGGGGAGCAAACAGG
rnacentral:rRNA from 1 species